GUCUAUGGCCAUGCCACCCUAAAAGUGCCCUAUCUUGUCUAAUCUCGGAAGUUAAGCAGGGUCAGGCCUGGUUAGUACUUGGAUGGGAGACCACCUAGGAAUACUAGGUGCUGUAGGCA
rnacentral:rRNA from 1 species